UCGAAAGUUGUCUUACCUGAG
rnacentral:piRNA from 1 species